UGGGGAAUAUUGCACAAUGGGCGCAAGCCUGAUGCAGCCAUGCCGCGUGUGUGAAGAAGGCCUUCGGUUGUAAAGCACUUUCAGCGAGGAGGAAGGUGGUGAACUUAAUACGUUCAUCAAUUGACGUUACUCGCAGAAGAAGCACCGGCUAACUCCGUGCCAGCAGCCGCGGUAAUACGGAGGGUGCAAGCGUUAAUCGGAAUUACUGGGCGUAAAGCGCACGCAGGCGGUUUGUUAAGUCAGAUGUGAAAUCCCCGGGCUCAACCUGGGAACUGCAUUGAAACUGGCAAGCUAGAGUCUCGUAGAGGGGGGUAGAAUUCCAGGUGUAGCGGUGAAAUGCGUAGAGAUCUGGAGGAAUACCGGUGGCGAAGGCGGCCCCCUGGANGAAGACUGACGCUCAGGUGCGAAAGCGUGGGGAGCAAACAGAUUAGAUACCCUGGUAGUCCACGCUGUAAACGAUGUCGA
rnacentral:rRNA from 1 species